rnacentral:tRNA from 1 species
UAGUUCAAUGGUAGAGCUCCCGCUUGGUAUGCGGGAAGACCUGGGUUCGAUUCCCCG